rnacentral:rRNA from 1 species
AGUGAACGCUGGCGGUAGGCCUAACACAUGCAAGUCGAACGGCAGCACAGUAAGAGCUUGCUCUUACGGGUGGCGAGUGGCGGACGGGUGAGGAAUACAUCGGAAUCUACUUUUUCGUGGGUGAUAACGUAGGGAAACUUACGCUAAUACCGCAUACGACCUACGGGUGAAAGCAGGGGAUCUUCGGACCUUGCGCGAUUGAAUGAGCCGAUGUCGGAUUAGCUAGUUGGCGGGGUAAAGGCCCACCAAGGCGACGAUCCGUAGCUGGUCUGAGAGGAUGAUCAGCAACACUGGAACUGAGACACGGUCCAGACUCCUACGGGAGGCAGCAGUGGGGAAUAUUGGACAAUGGGCGCAAGCCUGAUCCAGCCAUACCGCGUGGGUGAAGAAGGCCUUCGGGUUGUAAAGCCCUUUUGUUGGGAAAGAAAAGCAGCAGGUUAAUACCCCGCUGUUCUGACGGUACCCAAAGAAUAAGCACCGGCUAACUUCGUG